GUGAAUGCCAUGACGCAGCCGGCGGUAAUCAGGUGGGUUCAAGGUUUGUUCGGAAUUACGGGGAGUAAAGGGCUCGUAGGUAGCCAUGUAAAUCAGACGUGAAAUCCCGCGGCUCAACCUGGGAACUGCGUCCGAUACUGCACUGCUAGAGUUUGGGAGAGGGACGCAGAAUUUCCGGUGUAGCGGUGAAAUGCGUAGAUAUCUGGAGGAAUACCAACGGCGAAGGCGGCGCACUGGACAAUCACUGACACUGAUGAGCGAAAGCCAGGGGAGCAAACGGGAUUAGAUACCCCGGUAGUC
rnacentral:rRNA from 1 species